rnacentral:rRNA from 1 species
CAGUAGCCGCGGUAAAACCAGCAGCCCAAGUGGUGGUCGCGAUUAUUGGGCCUAAAGCGCUCGUAGCCGGGCCGGUAAGUCCCUUGUGAAAUCGGACGGCCUAACCGUUCGGCGUGCAAGGGAUACUGUCGGUCUUGAGGCCGGGAGACGUCCGAGGUACUCCGGGGGUAGCGGUGAAAUGUUCUGAUCCUCGGGGGACCACCGGUGGCGAAGGCGUUCGACGAGAACGGGCCUGACGGUGAGGGGCGAAGGCUAGGGGAGCAAACGGGAUUAGAUACCCCCGUAGUCCCUGUCUCUUAUA